UACGUAGGGGGCGAGCGUUACCCGGAAUCACUGGGCGUAAAGGGAGCGUAGGUGGCCUGACAUGUCGACUGUGAAAACCCGGAGCUCAACUCCGGACUUGCAGUUGAAACUGCCAGGCUUGAGGACGGUAGAGGAAGACGGAACUGCCAGUGUAGGGGUAAAAUGCGUAGAUAUCGGGAGGAACACCGGUGGCGAAGGCGGCUUUCUGGCCAGUUACUGACGCUCAUGCGCGAAAGCUGGGGUAGCGAACCGGAUUAGAUACCCCGGUAGUCCCUGAGCGGG
rnacentral:rRNA from 1 species